rnacentral:rRNA from 1 species
GAAAAGAAACCAACAGGGAUUCCCCUAGUAACGGCGAGUGAAGCGGGAAAAGCUCAAAUUUGAAAUCGUGUCCGGGUAACCGGGUCAUGAGUUGUAAUUUGAUGAGGCAAGUUUGGUGGGCGCCUGGGUCAAAGUCCUUUGGAAAAGGGUAUCAUAGAGGGUGACAAUCCCGUCUGUGACUCAGUCAGCGGUCUAUCGUGUAAACUGCCUUCAAAGAGUCGGGUUGUUUGGGAAUGCAGCCCUAAGCUGGUGGUAAAUUCCAUCUAAAGCUAAAUAUUCGUGAGAGACCGAUAGCGAACAAGUACCGUGAGGGAAAGUUGAAAAGCACUCUGGAGAGAGAGUCAAACAGCACGUGAAAUUGUUAACAGGGAAACGUUGGGCCCCAGUACGCGCCUCGCGUAAAAUCAACCAUCUCUUCCCCUAGGGUAUCCGCGUCGGGUGGAUGAGUCCUUAAUAAGGGCCAUUAUUCGGUCGGUGCCAGAGGGGGGUGGUGCACUUUUGCGUGGGCGGGUCAACGUCAGUUAGGACCACCGGAAAAUCCUGAGAGGAAUGUUGGCGAAGGAAACGGACCCACUUAUAGCCUCUUUUGAAAGCGGUGAUCUUGACUGAGGAGUCGCGGCCUUAUUAUAUGAUGAGAGCGUCUCUCUUUCCCCUAGGGUAAGGCAGCUUGCUGACUUAACUUGGUAAGGGAGGGGACUAUGUUUUUAUCUGAUGAGGUACGGACGUGCGAAGCGUGCUU